GGGCGCUUGGUCUAGGGGUAUGAUUGUUAGUAGUCCAAAUCCCAUUACUCUCGUGCAAUUCACUAACAAAGUCUUCAGUUCGCUUCGCAUACUAUAUGAGAAUGUGAAAGGUCGUGGGUUCAAUUCCCACAGCGUCCA